AGAGAAAUGUCUUCUGGGAGUAUAGAAGACGAGAGAAGGGUAGGAGAGAUUCAGAAAGAGGGCUCGGGUUGUAGCUAUUCUGUGCAGAAGAGGAGUCAGGUGUAAUCUUCUCUUAUUUAAUGAAUCUUAUUUUACCUGCAUGUUUUUCUCUUUUAUGAUUGUAUCAGCUUCUGCUGAGGAGAAGGGUUUAUGAUUAAAAUCCGAUUUGAUGCUUCCGUUGCGGAAUCCCAACAAUCGGUACCGAAUCCACAGCAGUCGGUAUCGGAGCGGGUUGCGGAUUCACAAGAUCCGGUACCGGGGCGAGUA
rnacentral:lncRNA from 1 species